UUCUUGCACUUCUUCUCGAAGGAGAGAGGACUUCCAAGCCCUAGGAUCCCCUAAGGAUCUGCCAGGUCAGACGAGGGUCAUGGGGUUUGUGUGUCUCGUGGUCAGCCAACCCCCCCUUAGAUAUGCCACCAAGAGCCAGCCUGUUUUUACUUAGAAAUUGGCUGGGUCAUGAGGGAAGUUGACUGCAGCCACCUGGUCCCAAUGGUCCAUUCUUUCUGGGAUUCAGUUCAGUCUUCUGAGCUGUCGCCCUGAGCAAUAAACCUCUCUCCUCGUGUUUAUGAAAUUAGUUUUCUCUUUCAUGGUGCCUUUCUCUCUGAGAGGACAGAACAGGCCACACCCAUGUCCUGGUUGCCACCCAUUUACACACGUGGGGGCAGGUAGACGAUGGUGUGGCCUCUGGCUGUGCAUUUCUAGAAUUUCAUCCAAAUGCAGGAUGACCCAGGCAGCCUAUGGUCUGAAUAAGACUAUUUUAUCAGGUGCCAGAAAUUCCUUGCAUUGGCUCCUUUCCUUUUGACCAUGAGCAUCCCAGGGAGGAGCGAGGUCCUGGCUAUAUUUGCAGCUCCCAUCCCCUUUCUGGAAGGUCUAAAUCAUCUGGAACAGAGCCUUUGGCCCUUGAGCUUCUUUUAUCCACAAGAAUUGCCAAGGGAGCUUGUUUAAAAUGCAGAUUCCUAUACCCCCUCCUCAGAGAUUGGUCCAAGGAGGUCUGGGCAGGACCCGGGACUCUGCAUUUUCAAACCUCCAUGUCCAGGCGACUGCUGCAAGGGACCUGCCCACUCCUCCCUGAGAAAGGUGGCCCUGGAGACCUGGAUAAACUCCAUGGAAAACUGCACCUUUCUAAAUAUCUGUUUCAUCCUGUAUCCUUCCCCAGUUCUCCAGAGAGUUCGAUCUCCAGCCUCAUUUAAGGGCUGAGUCAUUUCGUUCUCAGAGCAACAAAGCGCUCACUCCAUGAAAUUCUAAAAACCCAUCCUCAGAGGACUCUGGUGGAACCCCUGCCACCACCCCUCAAAGGUAUUUGCAACGUAGCCUCAUUCCAUUCCGUGGGGCUCCCGGGUAGUAAAUGUGGGUGUACACGGGGCAUCGGCAGAGCAUGGCGGCACCAGCUGGCUCCAGGUCAGGACACUUGGUUAGAGAGAAGGAAGCUGGCACCCAGAGGGGCCCACAGGGACACUUCCCUGGGUCUCGACCCCACCUCUGCCUGGGCAGCUUGGCUGUGGGAACCGAUGGCGUCCGGCCCCUCUGCCACUAACCUCAGCGCCCUUCCCACCCAGCCUCACACCCCAGGAGUGGAGCCAGGCUGAGGCCAGGCCAGAGGGAGACACUGCUGGAUGCUAACCCCUGUGUGUGGGUCUUUUUAGGGUUCCUCGCUUCAUCCAGCAAGGCUGACCCUGCUAGGUGCCCCAGGAGCAGCUCCUUGUAAUCACAAUUGUCCAUAGUCCUAACAGCUGGUGUGUACUGAGUGAAGCCUGCAUGCCGGGCACAGCACUGAGUGUUUUCGGGUAGUGUUCCCGUGAAUCCUCACCAUAACCCUAGGAUGUAGGUACUAUCAUCUCCUUUUCAGACCUCUGGGAAGAUCAGUAAGUCCUGGGGCAGCAGGUAGAGAAAUUUAAGGAGCAACGCAAAACAGAGGCAUGGUCUGUUAGUCUCCGGAAGGGUAGGCUAGUGCCAAUGGGAAGUCCCCUGCUGCACCCAACUCGGGGCAUCUUUCCAUCAUCAGAAGAGGACACCCUGCUCCCAGCUUCUGUGCUAACACCCACACCCACCAGCUGGGCCCCAGGGCCCUUCUCAUCCCAUGGCCACCACUGGCUUGGAAGGGACUCUUUUGGAUUUCUCUUUCUCUAUAGUGUUUUUAGGAGAAUUUGGGGGCCGGGGGCGGGGCUGAGCAGCAACCUCUGCACCCAGGAUUUAUGGUUCCCAGGUCCCUUGUCACCUCCAAGAAAUCUGUCUGACUAGAUGUCUUAGGUAUCUGAAGGUUCACUGUCAACCUGAAUUUUCCUGAAAUUCUGGACCAAUAGCCCUAUGACAUCAGAACAACACAGCACUGCCCUAGCACCAAAGUCAACUUCUUCAUGCCCUGAAGCCAAAAGGGCUUCCGUGGAAGACCCUGGUGUUUGCUUAGGACCCUGGGCUGAGCCAGCCAUGAGGAGAGGAUGGGUGGAGGUGGCCUCCUUGGUUUGCUUUUAGGGGUUCAGAAAAGAAACCUGGCUGGGAGCAGUGCUUUGUAAGCUUUGUGAGUGUCUCCACAUUCCCAGUAGGCUCCCACUGUGUCUCAGGACCAAUUGGCCUUUCAGCCCAAAAAGAGCAAGUCCAACCCUUGGCCAGCGGCCUUCGCUCUGCUGCCGGCUGAAGCCCUGGCCUGGUGGAAGGAAGAGAUGCAGGAAGGUCAGGCUUGCUGUUGCCUUUCCAAUUCAGAUGUAGCCAUGACUUCGAAGUCCUCCUCGUGCCUCCUUCCACAAAUACAGGGCAUGAAUUGCUCAUCUUCCCAAGGAAUCUGUUUCAGGGAAGUGGCUAGGACACGUGGCCUAGGGCAGCCUGACCUAGACCUCACUGCAGAAACAGUGAUCUUCAGGGGGAGGGGGACACCCAGGAAAGCAGGGUCCUGGAGCCGUUCAGGGAGUGGCACAUGGCAGCUGCAGACUCCAACCCAGAACUGCAAAAAUACUUAGCUGUCACUCCUUAGACAUUUACUGAGCACCUUCUGUGUGCCUGGCCCUGUGCCGUAUCAGCCUCUGGAAGAGACAAGAAAUUACAGUGUAAGACGGGGCUUCCCUGGAGGUGUGUGCACCCUGCUGGGAGGUGCAGGGGCUGAAGCACGUGGCCAGUGGGGAAGGAGGGUCUGGAAGGCUUUGGAGAGGCGAUGACGUUGGCCCAGAGCGUGUAGUAGGGAAGAACAUAUGACAAGGCACAGAGGAGAUGUGAAUGUGCCGGUAAGGAGUUUCGUGGGCUUAGAGCUGUGUGUCCAGGAAUGGCGUCAGGUGAGCCCAGAGGAGAGAAAGUGGCUCCUGAGAGUGAACGAGAUCUGUGGCCCAUGGGAGAUGAUCCAUAUCUUGAAGUUUGGAGUGCCAAAAUUAGGUGGCUUAGAGAAAACGUGAGGGACAUUGACAUGUAUUUAGCUACCAAAAAAAAAGAAAAGGAAGAGAAGAACAAAGGAAGGAAGGAAGGAAGGAAGGAAGGAAGGAAGGAAGGAAGGAAGGAAGGAAGGAAGGAAGGAAGGAAGGAAGGAAGGAAGGAAAGACUAAAAUGCAUUGCAUUGAUUUUCAGGGGCAGCUACAUUUAGCAGUGUGAAGGAAGAGAGUGGAAUUCAUUCUUCAGAAACCAACCACAUUUGGCCACUUGACCAGGGCACAUCCCUGACAAUAUACACGAUUGGUAACAAAAGUCUAUCUACAACAGUGAGUGUACACAUUCGGUGUCAAUGCAGGGCCCUAAAGGGCACCGCCACAAAGCCCCCUGCGACAACCGGAAGAAUUAGCACAACAAAAACAACCACGUUUGCGAAAGUUGUCCUCGUGUUGCGUAGCAGUUCAGCCACUCUCCCUUCACACCCACACUGUCACCGGGCUUUGUACAAUUCGCUCUCGCAGUGUGUCAUGCAGAGACGUCUCUAGCAUUUAAAGGUCAAACAUUAUGAAUCUCAUCAAUCCUAGCAGUGCUGUAGUUUAUCACAUAUACCCAUAUUUAAGGAUGUUUAAAAUAAUUUAGGCCGUUGACUCAAAAGACCGUGGAUGCCUUUGGGAACGCUCGUGCUCUUAGGAAGGCAGACUCUAGUGGCAUUUCCGGUGUCCUUUCUCCCACGGGCCCAUGGCUCUGUCAUCAGUAUCCUACUUCUCCCCUGGUGCAGAAGAGCUGUUGGACGUAUUCAGGAGAAUCUAAAGUCCAUGUUUCGAUAGUUUCAAAGAACCUGAAAUCUGUAUUUGGACACAGAAGCCCACUCUGAGUUGUGAGAGUCAGAUCAUCACCAUCAAGGCCCUGGCCUCUGUCACACUCACUACUGUCCAGAGGGAAUGCGUUUGGGAGAGCAUCAGAUGCCUUCACAUGGCACACCAUUGAUUGGUUCGCCCAAGCCAGUCCAUUUCCUGAUGACCAGAGCAAAGUGAUGGCUCGUGCCUGGUUAAGAUACCAAACACUCAGCCUGCUUUUGCCUUGGCCUUUAUGCCAUUUAAUACCAAAUCCUUGCUUGAAUUACUUGUAACCAAACCCCAUGCUCUAAAAGCCUUUAAAUGCCAAGUUCCCCUGCAAACUGAAAUCAUUCCAAACCUCAACAAUUCUGUUUUACAACAAGCAUGUAAAUAUAACCUCUUCUGGAACAUUUGAGGGACGUUUAAUGAGGAUGGUGUCUCGCCAAGCCCAUCAGGGUUUCCCGGAGGGGAAACUUGUUAAUCGCAGGUCACAAACAGCGUUGGAAGUCCAGUGACAUGUCAUCAAGGUGCCUUGCCUUAUCCUCAUUACCACAUGGGGCAUUUUUCUAAACCUUGGAAUAGGCCCAUCUUUACAUUUGUAGGCUCAUUUGGGAGAAGAGAUUCAGACCCUUGCCAUUUGGACAUAUGUUAUCCAUUUUGGUGAAACAGCUCCUAGGAGGACCUCAAUCCAUCCCUCUGUUGUGGUGUCCUGUGGUGAGUCACCACCCCCCCAUUCAUCCUCCCUAAUGGAGCAUGCCUGUCUCCCAUACAGAGGCUUUCCCCUGCUCAGUACCCACUGAGAGAACCAUCACUUCUCCUAAGUUUGAGGAGACUAGUUAGAUUUUACCCUUAGAACUCACAGAAGCUCCACAUAAUGAGAGCACCAAAGUCAAAUCCUUUGGCUACCUUGAGUUUUCAUAGAUUUCAUUAUUUUUUUGUGUGUGUGUCUGUGCAAAGAGGGGUUGGGGGAGUUACACCAUCCAUAGCUUGGGACACCCAGAGAACAGACCAGUAGACGACAAAAGGGAGCCCACAUUAAAGAAACGUAAGGAAUGUGCCACCUAGUGUAGGGUUCCAUGGGGAAAUGUACUUUCUAUUUGGACACUAGAAAAAAUAUUUUUGGAAACCAGGAUUUAGAAAAAUAAAAGAUAUUUCAUUCCCAGAGACAAAGUGAUCUGCAAACGGCUGGCUCCUGUACAAUGUUCUAUCCCAAUGUCAGACCCAUAGGAAAAUGGGUAUGUUUAUGUUGGAGCAAAUGUGCCCGUGAACAUGUGCGCCGUGAUUCUGUGCGCCCUUGAGUUUAUGCAUAUGGGUGAAUGUUCACAAACUGAAGCAGCUGCAUACUAACUAUAAAAAAAAAUGAAGCAAAAUUUUAGCAGCCUCUAAUGUUUGUUAACAUCGUAGCUUUAACUUUAUUUUCUCCUAAUUUAUUAAACAGAAAUAUAGCUCCACUACACACACACACACACACACACACACACACACACUAGAAGCCCUUCCAAUGUGGCAAUAUUACCUUUCAUGUAAUACACUUGCCAACACUGUUUUUCUGUUGCAACAAGACUCAAGAUUUUUGAAUCCAAGGCCAAUGUUGCCUGCUCUGUUUACAAUGGCUUGUGUUUUGUGAAUACAUAUCAAAUGUUGUAAUAUAUUUUUAUGAUAGAAUCAAUAGUUAAUACGGGGGGGGGGAAAGUAUAU
rnacentral:lncRNA from 1 species